rnacentral:rRNA from 1 species
UUUAAUGAGAGUUUGAUCCUGGCUCAGGACGAACGCUGGCGGCGUGCCUAAUACAUGCAAGUAGAACGCUGAGGUUUGGUGUUUACACUAGACUGAUGAGUUGCGAACGGGUGAGUAACGCGUAGGUAACCUGCCUCAUAGCGGGGGAUAACUAUUGGAAACGAUAGCUAAUACCGCAUAAGAGUAAUUAACACAUGUUAGU